UACGUAGGGGACGAGCGUUGUCCGGAAUUAUUGGGCGUAAAGAGCGUGUAGGCGGCUCUGCAAGUCCUGCGUGAAAUCUCGAGGCUCAACCUCGAGCGGUCGUGGGAAACUGGAGGGCUAGAGUGCGGGAGAGGGAAGUGGAAUUCCAGGUGUAGCGGUGAAAUGCGCAGAUAUCUGGAAGAACACCCGUGGCGAAGGCGGCUUCCUGGAACGACACUGACGCUGAGGCACGAAAGCUAGGGUAGCGAACGGG
rnacentral:rRNA from 1 species